CGCGGCCUAUCAGCUUGUUGGUGGGGUGAUGGCCUACCAAGGCGACGACGGGUAGCCGGCCUGAGAGGGCGACCGGCCACACUGGGACUGAGACACGGCCCAGACUCCUACGGGAGGCAGCAGUGGGGAAUAUUGCGCAAUGGGCGAAAGCCUGAUGCAGCGACGCCGCGUGAGGGAUGACGGCCUUCGGGUUGUAAACCUCUUUCAGCAGGGAAGAAGCGCAAGUGACGGUACCUGCAGAAGAAGCACCGGCUAACUACGUGCCAGCAGCCGCGGUAAUACGUAGGGUGCGAGCGUUGUCCGGAAUUAUUGGGCGUAAAGAGCUCGUAGGCGGUUUGUCGCGUCGGAUGUGAAAGCCCGGGGCUUAACCCCGGGUCUGCAUUCGAUACGGGCAGACUAGAGUGUGGUAGGGGAGAUCGGAAUUCCUGGUGUAGCGGUGAAAUGCGCAGAUAUCAGGAGGAACACCGGUGGCGAAGGCGGAUCUCUGGGCCAUUACUGACGCUGAGGAGCGAAAGCGUGGGGAGCGAACAGGAUUAGAUACCCUGGUAGUCCACGCCGUAAACAUUGGGAACUAGGUGUUGGCGACAUUCCACGUCGUCGGUGCCGCAGCUAACGCAUUAAGUUCCCCGCCUGGGGAGUACGG
rnacentral:rRNA from 1 species